rnacentral:rRNA from 1 species
GUGGGGAAUAUUGGGCAAUGGGCGAAAGCCUGACCCAGCAACGCCGCGUGAGUGAAGAAGGCCUUCGGGUCGUAAAGCUCUGUCAUCAGGGACGAACGGCCGGUGGAGUGGAAAGCCACCGGAUUGACGGUACCUGAGAAGGAAGCCACGGCUAACUACGUGCCAGCAGCCGCGGUAAUACGUAGGUGGCAAGCGUUGUCCGGAAUUAUUGGGCGUAAAGCGCGCGCAGGUGGGAUCUUAAGUCCAUUUUUAAAGUUCGGAGCUCAACUCCGUGAUGGGAUGGAAACUGGGAUUCUUGAGUACCGGAGAGGAAAGCGGAAUUCCCCGUGUAGCGGUGAAAUGCGUAGAUAUGGGGAGGAACACCAGUGGCGAAGGCGGCUUUCUGGACGGUGUCUGACACUGAGGCGCGAAAGCCAGGGGAGCGAACGGGAUUAGAAACCCCUGUAGUCC